AGAGAAUGGCGUGAACCCGGGAGGCAGAGCUUGCAGUGAGCCGAGAUCUCACCACUGCACUCCAGCCUGGGCGACAAAA
rnacentral:snRNA from 1 species